UCUAAUGCCCGGGUGAAUACGCAUUUGAUUUUCACUUCUGCGUCUAGAACAUUCGUUUAAUGCCCGGAUGAAUAUGCAUGACAUUGUACGUAAAUAAACAAAUAAGUUUGUAUUGUUGGAUUAUACAUUGGAAAUAAGUGGAAUUAAACAUCUAAAAUGAGUUUGCAAGAAUUCUCGCAUGAUAUUGAUCACAUUACUACACAUUUGAGGAACACUUAACCCGACGACCCAGAAAUAAAGACAUGGAACGAACUAUACUAUAAAUUAUUAUCAGCUUAUUCAACAGUAUAUCAGGAAGACAACGGACGUUUAGGACAAAAUAUAUUAGAAUUACAACUUCGACUGACAACUCUUCAAAAGGAGAACAAUAACCA